GCAGCCUCAAGCUCAGGCGUACUUGGGUUCUGCAGCAGAACAAUGAUCCAAAGCACACAAACAAGUUCACCUCUGAAUGUUUGAAUGUCUACAUAUUAAACAUUUAUUACUCUUUAAAACGAUGUAACCGUAUUUUUACGCUAUUCAUUUAUUGGUAUAUCAGUGACAUACAUUUUUGAUAAUAUACCAAAAAUAUAAGUAUCCCAAUUCUGGGACAAUAUAAUUUCUACACAAAAGUAGUUAUGGUGACAGACCUAUACUCAAUCAAGAUAUUGAUAUAGUGCAGCAGUGCAUGGGGGUGUAACUCUGGCACUGUGAUCUGUAUUGAUGAGGGUCAGGCUCCUACAGUAGAGUGAGUGAAUAGUGUAGAGAUGCUGGGUGGGGCGGGUGCUGCACAGAGGGGAGUCACUCUGCUCUACUGUACUGUUCUCUUCUACAUCUCUCCCACUGACUGGAGGAUCCAGGGGGUUAUGGCACAGAGCUGACCUGCUGCAGCCGGGCUGAGAGCUGCUGUGUUUACGCAGGAGAAAGUGGAGGAAAGUGGAGAAGACGAGGAGAAAGAUGCAGUCAGACCACCAGAGUGAUGAUGCUUCUUCAGCUCAGAACAGGAGGAGCCCUGGACCUGUUCGAACAUCUCCCUCAGUCUGCUGGAGUGUUAUAACAGCAGUAUAGCGAGGAGACCCCCCUCUCUCUCUCUGCUCCAGUGGAUGGAGUUGGUAACUGUGGAGUCUCGCCAUGCCUUCUCUCCACCACGGGGCCAUCUUUAUCGGAGUCUUCCUCAUAGUCACCGGCGGCUCCACCGCCUUCCUCACGUCCAGUCAGAACCGGCUGCAGGCGUUCAGCCUGUGCUGUGUGGUGCUGGGGGCGGUCAUGCUCAUCCUGGGGCUCUUCUGGGCCAUGAACGGCAAGACCAACCCCGCCACCUACACCGCAGACUACACCCACGACUACAGCCACGUCCUCUUUACCCCUCCGACCGGGAACCGCUUCCCAGAGUCCCAGUCCGUCUACCUCCACAGAACUUUGGAAAGGCAAAGGCGAGGGAUGUACAGUGAGGACUUCGACUACCCUCCCAUGGAGAACACUUGCUUCAGCCCAUCUGGACGAGGGCAGCCCCCUCACUGGGAGAUGGACCCGCCGCCUCCCUAUGAAGUAGCCAUCAAAACCACAUGUAGCUCCACACAUCUGAGACGCAGCUACUCAGACACCCUGCUGCCUACUGAACCGCUCUUCAACCGCUCCCGUGAGAUCAGCUUUGAGGUGUAAAUUGAUGCCCUGACCCUGCCCCUCACUGCCAGCACUGACCAGCACUGAGGAACACACCUUAACUGUCUAACCCCAAGUCUACUUACUUCUCAAGCACUUUGUGUUAGGACUACGUUUCUUUUUUAUUAUUAUUAUAAAUUUCUGCUCAGUCUGACCCAUUGUAUUCUAAUUCAUGCAGUGAAAAAUUUAAGUCAUUAAUGUCCAUAUCUGGAUAUGAUUCAACCGUGUGCUUUCUGUGAGCUUGAAAUUAGAAAACAAAUAUUUAGAUUUAUUUGUUUAUAAAAGUAUGAAAUUUAAUUGUAAUAGAAAGUAACUUUUAACCAUGAAAUUACAUCAUCAAUCUAGUUAAUGCAACUAGAAGGAGUUUAAAAUAAGUUUGAAGAAGUAUCAGACUAAAUAUAGUCCUCGAACUGCACAGCCCUGUCAUUGGUUGCUGGUUCAAUACUCUGUAAUGCCACAGCACAGCUGGCCUUGCUCUCCCUCUCUCUCUCUCUCUCUCUCUCUCUCUCAGUGGGUAGACUGGGACUCCCUCUCACUCCAUUACUCAGUGUGAUGCAAACCAUUGCAGGCAUCUGUUAAAAGAUGUAAUAAAAUUGGCAGUUAGUGUUCA
rnacentral:lncRNA from 1 species